rnacentral:rRNA from 1 species
UACAGAGGUCUCAAGCGUUGUUCGGAUUCAUUGGGCGUAAAGGGUGCGUAGGCGGCGCGGUAAGUCGGGUGUGAAAUUUCGGAGCUUAACUCCGAAACUGCAUUCGAUACUGCCGUGCUUGAGGACUGGAGAGGAGACUGGAAUUUACGGUGUAGCAGUGAAAUGCGUAGAGAUCGUAAGGAAGACCAGUGGCGAAGGCGGGUCUCUGGACAGUUCCUGACGUGAGGCACGAAGGCCAGGGGGAGCAAAACGGGG